rnacentral:rRNA from 1 species
GAUGAACGCUGGCGGCGUGCUUAACACAUGCCAGUCGAACGGAAAGGCUCCUGCUUGCAGGGGUACUCGAGUGGCGAACGGGUGAGUAACACGGGGGUGAUCUGCCCUGCACUUCGGGAUAAGCCUGGGAAACUGGGUCUAAUACCGGAUAGGACGAUGGUUUGGAUGCCAUUGUGGAAAGUUUUUCGGUGUGGGAUGAGCUCGCGGCCUAUCAGCUUGUUGGUGGGGUAAUGGCCUACCAAGGCGUCGACGGGUAGCCGGCCUGAGAGGGUGUACGGCCACAUUGGGACUGAGAUACGGCCCAGACUCCUACGGGAGGCAGCAGUGGGGAAUAUUGCACCAUGGGCGCAAGCCUGAUGCAGCGACGCCGCGUGGGGGAUGACGGCCUUCGGGUUGUAAACUCCUUUCGCUAGGGACGAAGCGUUUUGUGACGGUACCUGGAGAAGAAGCACCGGCUAACUACGUG